UGCUAUUUACCUUCCCGCUGGAAGGUAUCUACAACACCAGAUUCAUCCAAACAAUUAAUACAAUUUGAUAAAGCCAUAGUAACUCAUGGUGUUGCCAUGAUACUUCCUAAUCACAAUAUGGAAACUUACUCCAGAACAAAAACUAAAAUAAAAAUAGAUUAGCUGUGCCCUAUUGCGAUGUGAAAGGGGUAGUCAAGAUGGGCCUCUAGAGAUGAACUACAACUCCCAUCACCCCCAACUAUUGGCCCUGCUGUUUGUGGCUGAUGGGAGUUGGAGUCCGCUGAUUGGACUCCAUGUUGACUAUUCCCCAACCCUCAAAUGUAUGUCCUGAUUCUCCUUGAUAUAAGGGAAGAAGUUGCUCAUCUUGUCACAUGGUCACGCCAGUCCAUUUGUGGGCUGGUAGAGUCACUGCCAGCCAGGACUCUAACACAGGGAUGAGGGACAUGGGACCCGCUAGGCCAGCGUUUCCCAAACUUGGGUCUGCAGUUGCUUUUGGACUACAAUUCUCAUUAUCCCUGACCACUCGUCUUGCUCAGAGGCAAAGCAACCUGCUCUGGUACCCGGAGCGGCGCUCGUCCCAGGGGGCGUGGCGCACGUCCCAGUGGUGUGCGACGAGCGGCGCACACCCUGGGGGGUGCCACCAAUUGGGGGUCGGCAUUUUGUCACACCCCCCUUUGGAAUGGUACCUGGAGUGGUCCGCCCCCACCCCCUAGAAUGCCUCUGGUCUUGCAAGCUAGUGAUGAUGGGAGUUGUAGUCCAAAUAAGUUUGGGAAGCCAGUUGCUAGAUGUUGAGGGACUACAAAACCCCUCGCCCCUGACCAUUGGGGAUGCUGCCUGGGGCUGAUGGGAAUUGGAGUUUGAGAACAUCUAAUGUCCUGUCCUGCGGACAUUCCGGCAACUGGAAUUCAGAGUCAUUCUGCCUCCCAGCCACUAGGGUUGGUGGCCCUUGCUGAUUUGCACCUCCACAAAUUUGUUUCAUUUUAUCACCCACAAAUGGUGCAUUGAAUUCUGGGAGGCCAUUUUGGCUCUGCGUGGAUUUUCGGCUCAUCCCUACGAAUGCUUUACUAUCAGAAUUGCAACAAGAUUCCAGAAGCCAAAUUGUGGAAAUGACUUUAUGGCAACAGGCCACCGCAUCCAGUUCGGAGGGGACAUUUCAAGGACAUUUCUCACAGCUUUCCAUUUACCCAGUUUCAGCCUGGGUCAACAUUGGCUGUUUUGCCCUCUGUGAAGUGCGGAAUAAGCCUUAAUCUUCAGGAGAGGACUGCUUCAUGGAAUGGACUCCAUGGGAAUGGACUCGAUGUUGCCAUAGCAACACCACCCCUUACAGUUCCCUCCAGACAUCUGGAGGAGGGAACAUGAUCGUUAAUCAUAAUUAGGAGGGCGUUUCGGGUUAAUAUGCGCAGGGAAGGUUGAGGGUUUUCAGCCGAGAGCACCUGGGGGGAAAAUAUACCACACAUAUAAGUGGCGGGGAGCAUUAGAUUCAUCAUGUAAAUGUAAAUGUCUCCAGAGGAGGGAGUUCCCCCUAGCUGAGGGCCUUAUGUAAUGUGCGAUCUGUAAGGAACAGAAUUAAUUCAGAGGGCUUGUCAUAUGAAAACCCCCAGGCAAUUAAUUGAAUUUUUAAACCCAGACAACAGAAAUUAUCCAGCUUCAAUAUGAUUACUUCUCUCCCCAUGAUGCGAUAAGGCUAACUGCCUGACAUUGUCUGCAUUGUUUAAAACAAUCCAGAUUUGGAAAUGUGUCGCUGAGGCUCCCAGAACACAAAUUUGAUGUGAAUAUUUGAAUCGCCGCAGAUAUAUCAUCGCGGGCAAUUUCUGCUUCUGUUUCACCCCACUAAAUUCGUUUUGACUUCAGUGUGGUCUGGCCUCUGAGUAAGCUAGCAUAUGAUUCAGCAGCCAUGGAACCCAAUCCUCUGGGUGCUAUUUACCCAUGAGUAAGCCCACCUCUGCUCAAUGGAGCCUACUCCUGAAUAAAUGUGUUUAGGAUUGUAGUCUAGGGUCUGUCGAACUCAAGGGGUCCUGUGAGUAAACGUGGACAGGGGUGGAUAAGUUUGCAUCAAGAAUUGAUUGGAAAUUGUGAGAAAGUACUCGCCCUUACUUGUUAAAAUAGAUGUCUGCCAUGAAACUAAAGAACCAUACCAAAUGAAUUUGCUUUCACAAUUUCGUGUGUGUUUGUUGUUACAAGGUGCAUGUCUGAACCUGCGUACGUGUUCACCACUCGUAUAGACCUGGCGUCCGCUCUUGAGAGGAAUGCAACAUUUUGACAUGUGCCCAUUUAAAAAAUGUGUGUAUACCUUUAAAACUUGUGCCUAAUAAAGAACGUGUCACACC
rnacentral:lncRNA from 1 species